CGCGUAGGUGGUAGUGUAAGUCUGAGGUGGAAUCCCAGGGCUUAACCCUGGAACUGCCUUGGAAACUGCAUUACUUGAGUCAGUGAGGGGAGGGUAGAAUUCCUGGUGUAGCGGUGAAAUGUGUAGAUAUCAGGAGGAAGGCCUGUGGCGAAGGCGGCCCUCUGGUGCUGGACUGACACUGAGGCGCGAAAGCGUGGGGAGCAAACAGGAUUAGAUACCCUGGUAGUCCACGCCCUAAACGGUGGGCACUAGGUGUAGGGCUCGUAAGGGUUCUGUGCCGAAGGGAAACCAUUAAGUGCCCCGCCUGGGGAGUACGGCCGCAAGGUUGAA
rnacentral:rRNA from 1 species